rnacentral:misc_RNA from 1 species
GCAAGACAGAGGCAAAAUGGUGGAACAGUUGAGGAGAUAAAGAAGCAAGUUGAUGAUGCUGGGAAUUCUGCUAUAUCGAUGCCAUACAGAGUUCAACAAAUAGAGAAGUUUUUUAAACAGCUCGAGUCAGGAGAUUUGAAACUCAGAGUCAGAGUGCUUGAGUCCGAAAGAGCUGCACGGAAAGCAACUAUACUGCAAAUGGCUACUAUAUACACAACUUUAGGUGGAACCCUACUGAAUGUUGGGGUAACAUUAAGCAGCCAUGGAAAACAAGCUAUUGCAAAUGGGUGUUUUUCUAUUGCUGGUGUUUUCUUGAUAUUACUGAUCAUAUCCAUGAGGAGAGUGUCGGGUAUCAAUACAAUUGAAAAGAUGCUGAAAUAACAAUUUGACAUGGUCAUUCCUGUCCCAUGUUACAUCCUUCCCUUUGUUGGAUAUUGAUCCUUCGUCAGAUGUUUUACUUGUAUGUAUGUUUAUAUACCGCCAUUUUAGUUAUCAGUCAAGCAUGACAUGUAAACGAGGCAAUCAGAUUAUCAUUACAAGGAUUACAGAUUAAUUUGUAAGAUAAGUAAAAUGUAUACAAAUAUAUAUUG